rnacentral:rRNA from 1 species
GAUGAACGCUGGCGGCGUGCCUAAUACAUGCAAGUCGAGCGAACAGACGAGGAGCUUGCUCCUCUGACGUUAGCGGCGGACGGGUGAGUAACACGUGGAUAACCUACCUAUAAGACUGGGAUAACUUCGGGAAACCGGAGCUAAUACCGGAUAAUAUAUUGCACCGCAUGGUUCAAUAGUAAGAGACGGUUGUGCGGUCACUUGUAGAUGGAUCAGCGGCGCAUUGGCUGGUUGGUAAGGUAACGGCUUACCAAGGCGACGAUGCGUAGCCGACCUGAGAGCGUGAGCGGCUACACUGUAACUGAGACACGGUCCAGACUCCUACGGGAGGCAGCAGUAGGGAAGCGUCCGCAAUUGGCGAAAGCCUGACGGAGCAACGCCGCGUGAGUGAGGAAGGUCUUCGGAUCGUAAAACUCUGUUAUUAGUGAAGAACAAAUGUGUAAGUAACUUUGCACGUCUUGACGGUACCGAAUCAGAAAGCCACGGCUAACUACGUG